UGGAGCUUCGUUUUCAAAUCCUAGCUUUGCCUGAUAGGAGCUACAUCUCUCAGAUGGAUUCAUUAUAAUCAUGGGACUGUAGGCUUUGAUUCUGAGAAGAUGUUCUAACCCUGGCCUACUUGCUGGUAUCUCAAUUUCAUUUUUCAUGGUGAAAUCACAUUGGUUCUGGUAUUGUCAAGACCAUCUCUCUCUGCAUAUGGCUGCAGAAUAAGCUAUUUCUAAUGUCAAGUUACAAAAUACAUUGAAAUGACAAGAGUCAUUUUAGAAGAAGGUAUGGAGGAGCAGAAAGGAGAAAGCAUGCACUGCACCAGGAUGUGGGACCAUCUCUUUGACCUCUGGAGACGUCUGAAAGAACAUGGGUGCUCAUAGCUAAAGGUAAUGCCUUGCAAUAACUUCUAGUGGCUGGAACUAACCAGUAAUCUCAUGUACUAUGCUGUUUUUUUUUCCAUAUAAGUGGGAAAUGGUGUAAUUCAUACUAUCGCAUUUAUCUGUGACUAAAAAUUUUCAGUAGCAAAAACCAAUUAGUCUCUGCACCAUCAUUCUAUUUUAUACAGUUCCAUUUCUGUAUGAUUUUGUAUAAUUUUCCACCAGGUAGUCAGUAUAUUCACGGAAAUUUCAUAUCAUACCAUACAUUUAAUGUUGGUAUGAUUUCCAAAAGAGAACUAAGGGCAGUAUGUAGUGUUGACCCCAGGAAUAGAAGAUCAAAAAGAAAUGGAGAGACAAAAACUCACAUUGAAUAGGAUAAAGCAAAAAACAGGAAAUCAGAUCGCAUAGGGUAAGGAAGUAGAACCAGAGACGUCAUGCAC
rnacentral:lncRNA from 1 species